AACGUAGGAGCCAAGCGUUAUCCGAAUUCACUGGGCGUAAAGCGCGUGCAGGCGGCUUGACAAGUUGGAUGUGAAAGCUCCCGGCUCAACUGGGAGAGGACGUUCAAAACUGUCGAGCUAGAGGGCAGCAGAGGGAGGUGGAAUUCCCGGUGUAGUGGUGAAAUGCGUAGAUAUCGGGAGGAACACCAGUGGCGAAAGCGGCCUCCUGGGCUGCACCUGACGCUCAGACGCGAAAGCUAGGGGAGCAAACGGG
rnacentral:rRNA from 1 species